UCUGGCUCUAGAGAGGGAGGUAUAAGUGAUGGUGCUCCUGGAAAAAGGGAUGAUCUAACCGGGAUUCAUUUCUAAAAAUUAAGAGAGGAAAAUGUAUCACUCAAGAUACCAGAUUGGAAAACAGCCAUGGAAUAAGAGAAAUAACAAAAAUGAAUGAAGAUCAAGCUUUACAGACCUACAAUAAACAAUGGUAAUAUGAGAAGACAAAAAUAUGUGUGUGAAUGGACUCAUUAACUUUCCGGUAUGCAUUUGCCAAGGCAAGAAUUUUUUCUGUAUCUGCAAACAUCACACUCCAGAAUGAUUGCUGUUGACAUGUGAAACUGAAGCUCACAAAGGACAAAGAGUGAUUUUCCGUGAGCAAGACAAACAUCAGAGUCUAAUAUUUUACUAAAACCACUGCAACAUCUCUGCUGUAAGUAAAGUCAAAACUAAGAAAAUAU